CCUACGGGUGGCUGCAGUGGGGAAUAUUGCACAAUGGGGGAAACCCUGAUGCAGCGACGCCGCGUGAGUGAAGAAGUAUUUCGGUAUGUAAAGCUCUAUUAGCAGGGAAGAAAAUGACGGUACCUGAUUAAGAAGCCCCGGCUAACUCCGUGCCAGCAGCCGCGGUAAUACGGAGGGGGCAAGCGUUAUCCGGAUUUACUGGGUGUAAAGGGAGCGUAGGCGGCAGAGCAAGUCUGGAGUGAAAUCCCGGGGCUUAACCCCGGAACUGCUUUUGAAACUGUGCAUCUAGAGUGCAGGAGAGGUAAGUGGAAUUCCUGGUGUAGCGGUGAAAUGCGUAGAUAUUAGGAGGAACACCAGUGGCGAAGGCGGCUUACUGGACUAUAACUGACGUUGAGGCUCGAAAGCGUGGGGAGCAAACAGGAUUAGAUACCCGAGUAGUC
rnacentral:rRNA from 1 species